rnacentral:lncRNA from 10 species
CCCAACUACUCAGGAGGCUGAGGCAGGAGAAUCGCUUGAACCCAGGAAGCGAAGGCUGCGGUGAGCCAAGAUCGUGCCUUUGCACUCCAGCCUGGGCAACAAAAGUGAAACUCUAUUUCAAACAAACAAACAAACAAACAACACACAUGGGAAAGGGCGGGUUUAGACAUGUGAGAAAUUUAAAAACAAAUCUCUGGCUGGGAGUGGUGGCUCCCACCUGCAAUCCCAGCACUUUGGGAGGCCGAGGUAGGUGGAUCACUUGAGCUCAGGCAUUUGAGACCAGCCUGGGCAACAUUGCAAAACUCUGUCUCUACCAAAAAAAUUAGGCGUGGUGGUGCACACCUGUAGUCCCAGCACUUUGCGAGUCUGAGGUGGAUGGAUCACCUGAGGUCAGGAGUUUCAGAGCAAGCCUGGCCAACAUGGUGAAACCACAUCUCUACUAAAAAUACAAAAAUAAGCCAGGUGUGGUGGUGCAUGCCUGUAAUCCCAGCUACUCAAGAGGCUGAGACAUGAGAAUAGCUUGAACCCGGUAGGCAGAGGCUACAGUGAGCCGAGAUUGUGCCACUGCACUCCAACCUGGGCGACAGAGCAAGACUCUCAGGGAAAAAAAAAAAAAAGAGAGCUGAGUAGCAACAAUACAAGCAAAUACUGUUUUUGUUUUUUCUUUCAAAGAAAUGUCCUAGGGUAGGUGUGAAAAGUAUUUUAGCCAAAGCUGACAGAACAAUGUUUCCAAAGCUGUAUGCCAAGUAAUGC